GAUCCUGGCUCAGGAUGAACGCUGGCUACAGGCUUAACACAUGCAAGUCGAGGGGCAGCAUGACGGAAGCUUGCUUCCGUUGAUGGCGACCGGCGCACGGGUGAGUAACGCGUAUCCAACCUGCCCUUGUCCACCGGAUAACCCGUCGAAAGGCGGACUAACACGGUAUGCAGUCCACAGCAGGCAUCUAACGUGGACGAAAUGUGAAGGAGAAGGAUGGGGAUGCGUCUGAUUAG
rnacentral:rRNA from 1 species